GCCGCCGUAGCUCAGUCGGUAGAGCGGCUGGCUGUUAACCAGUAGGUCGCCCGUUCGAGUCGGGCCGGCGGCG
rnacentral:tRNA from 2 species